rnacentral:rRNA from 1 species
UACGUAGGGUGCAAGCGUUAAUCGGAAUUACUGGGCGUAAAGCGUGCGCAGGCGGUUUCGUAAGUCUGUCGUGAAAUCCCGGGGCUUAACCUGGGAAUGGCGAUGGAGACUGCGAGGCUAGAGUUUGGCAGAGGGGGGUAGAAUUCCACGUGUAGCAGUGAAAUGCGUAGAGAUGUGGAGGAACACCGAUGGCGAAGGCAGCCCCCUGGGUCAAAACUGACGCUCAUGCACGAAAGCGUGGGGAGCAAACAGG